GGACCGUUAUCUCAGUUGGUCAGAGAAACUGACUCAUAAUCAGGAGGUCGUAGGUUCAAGCCCUACACGGUCCA
rnacentral:tRNA from 1 species